AAAUUGACACCGUAACUUCGGGAGAAGGUGUGCCGCUGGCGGUUAGUGACUUCGCGUCACGAAGCUGUCGGUGGUCGCAGUGAAAUGGCGGUUGUGACUGUUUACUAAAAACACAGGACUCUGCGAAGUCGUAAGACGACGUAUAGGGUCUGAUGCCUGCCCGGUGCUGGAAGGUUAAGGGGAUAUGUCAGCGCAAGCGAAGCAUUGAACCGAAGCCCCAGUAAACGGCGGCCGUAACGAUAACGGUCCUAAGGUAGCGAAAUUCCUUGUCGGGUAAGUUCCGACCUGCACGAGGGCAUAACAACAUCCGCACUGUCUCGACCAGGGACUCAGCGAAAUUACAUUGGGGGUGAAGAUGCCCUCUACCCGCGGAAAGACGGAAAGACCCCAUGAACCUUUACUGCAACUUGGCAGUGAUUUUCGGGUUGUUCUGCGUAGGAUAGGUGGGAGGCUUUGAAGCCGGGCUUCCGGGUUCGGCAGAGCCAACGUUGAAAUACCACCCUGAAUAAUCUGGAAAUCUAACCUGCGCCCAUGAUCUGGGCGAGGGACACUGCCUGGUGGGCAGUUUGACUGGGGCGGUCGCCUCCUAAAUUGUAACGGAGGCGUGCGACGGUUCCCUCAGGCUGAUUGGAAACCAGCCGUAGAGUGCAAACGCAUAAGGGAGCUUUACUGCGAGACUGACAAGUCGAACAGUUGCGAAAGCAGGUGUUAGUGAUCCGGUGGUACCACAUGGAAGGGCCAUCGCUCAUCGGAUAAAAGGUACUCUGUGGAUAACAGGCUGAUCGCGCCUGAGAGUUCACAUCGGCGGCGCGGUUUGGCACCUCGAUGUCGGCUCAUCGCAUCCUGGGGCUGGAGCAGGUCCCAAGGGUUUGGCUGUUCACCAAUUAAAGCGGUACGCGAGCUGGGUUUAAAACGUCGUGAGACAGUUUGGUCCCUAUCUUCCGUGGGCGCAGGACACUUGAGAGGAGCUAUCCAUAGUACGAGAGGACCUGGAUGGACGAACCUCUGGUGCUCCGGUUGUCACGCCAGUGGCAUAGCCGGGUAGCCAUGUUCGGAACAGAUAACCGCUGAAGGCAUAUAAGCGGGAAGCUGGCCUCAAGACUAGGUGUCCCUGACGCAAGUCACUAAAGGCCCCUCGAAGACUACGAGGUUGAUAGGCUCGGUGUGGAAGCGCUGCGAGGCGUGGAGCUAACGAGUACUAAUAGGCCGUGCGACUUGACCUC
rnacentral:rRNA from 1 species